UCCAAGCUGUCAGUGCAGAGCCCGACUCAGAGCUCAAUCCCACAAACCGUGAGCUCAUGACCUGAGCUGAAAUCAAGAGUCUUGAUGCUCAACUGACUGAGCCACCCCGAGGCCCGUGUGUCUGAUAUCUUUAAUUUGACACUGUGUUUUCAAGGCUCAUCCAUGUCAGUACUUCCCUCCUUUUUCUGGUGAAUAUUCCACUGUUUGGAGGUCUUAGUAGCUCACGAAGCUAUGACAAACCACCACAGAUGGGGGGAUUAAACCACAGACCUGAGGACAAACAACAUUCUACUCUCAACAUUCUACUCCUGGCCCCUCCCCCAACUCAUGUUCUUAUCGCAUGCAAAAUACAUUCAUUCCUUCUCAAAAGCCCCCAAAUUCUUAACUCCUGGCAUCAACUGCAAAGUCUGAAGCCCAAAGUCUCAUCUAAACAUCAUCUUAAUCAGACACAGAUCCUGGCUCACACCUCUCCAAACCCUUGAAAUUUCCUGAGUGUCGAGUGGGAUAAAUGUGUCUUUUGUUGCAUUAAGGAAGGUGAUGUCUGGACCUCACCCAAGAUGUUGGCCCUUCAGACAGCUGGAAAGGCUCAUCCUUAGCAAAGGAAUGUCUCCUAGCAGGCGUCUCCAUUACCUAUCCCUUCUGAGUUCGCUUACAUGGAAAAAACAAAAACAAAACAAAACAACAACAAAGGAAGAAACAAACAAACAAGAACAAAGGAAGAGAAGAAGAUGGGUAGAGGAGGAAAAACGGCACUUCAAUUUUGCUUGUAAUAAAAAUGUAAUUUCUUGGAAUGUGACUCUUGUGUUCUUAAAAAUGUUAACAGCGUUACUGAGUUAUAAUUUACACGCCAUAAAAUUCACCCAUUAUAAGUGUACAGUUUGAUAAUUGUUAGUAAAUUUCUGCAGUUGUGCAACCAUCCCCACAUACCCUCACAUUCCAGAGAACAUCCAUCACUCCAGAAAUUUCACUCCAGUUUGGUUGCUGAUUAUUGUUAUUUUAUAACCUCUUUGUUUGGAGUCUCAGACAGUGAACUCAGUGGAUACACCUAUAAUGGAUGCUUUUUAUAUUCACUUUGUCUCUGCCCAGGGCAAGAAUCCCUACUUU